rnacentral:rRNA from 1 species
GUAACAGGGAAUAGUUUACUAUUUUGCUGACGACCGGCGCACGGGUGAGUAACGCGUAUACAAUUUGCCUUUUACAGGAGGAUAGCCCAGAGAAAUUUGGAUUAAUACUCCAUGGUAUUACGAGAUCGCAUGGUUUUGUAAUUAAAGUUUCGGCGGUAGAAGAUGAGUAUGCGUCCUAUUAGCUAGUUGGUAAGGUAACGGCUUACCAAGGCGACGAUAGGUAGGGGUCCUGAGAGGGAGAUCCCCCACACUGGUACUGAGACACGGACCAGACUCCUACGGGAGGCAGCAGUGAGGAAUAUUGGUCAAUGGAGGCAACUCUGAACCAGCCAUGCCGCGUGCAGGAAGACUGCCCUAUGGGUUGUAAACUGCUUUUAUACAGGAAGAAACUUACUCACGUGUGGGUAACCGACGGUACUGUACGAAUAAGGACCGGCUAACUCCGUGCCAGCAGCCGCGGUAAUACGGAGGGUCCGAGCGUUAUCCGGAAUCAUUGGGUUUAAAGGGUCCGUAGGCGGGCUAUUAAGUCAGAGGUGAAAUUGUGCAGCUCAACUGUAGAACUGCCUUUGAUACUGAUAGUCUUGAGUUAUGGUGAGGUAGCCGGAACAUGUGGUGUAGCGGUGAAAUGCAUAGAUAUCACAUAGAACGCCGAUUGCGAAGGCAGGUUACCAACCAUAUACUGACGCUGAUGGACGAAAGCGUGGGGAGCGAACGGGAUUAGAUACCCCGGUAGUCCACGCCGUAAACGAUGGAUACUAGCUGUUGGGUUUUCGGACUCAGCGGCCAAGCGAAAGUGAUAAGUAUCCCACCUGGGGAGUACGUUCGCAAGAAUGAA